AUACGUAUGUCGCAAGCGUUAUCCGGAAUUAUUGGGCGUAAAGCGAGUCUAGGCGGCUUGUUAAGUCAGAUGUGAAAAUGCGGGGCUCAACUCCGUAUUGCGUUUGAAACUGGCAGGCUAGAGUACUGGAGAGGUGGGCGGAACUACAAGUGUAGAGGUGAAAUUCGCAGAUAUUUGUAGGAAUGCCGAUAGUGAAGACAGCUCACUGGACAGAUUCUGACGCUAAAGCUCGAAAGCGUGGGGAGCGAACAGGAUUAGAUACCCCGGUAGUCC
rnacentral:rRNA from 1 species